rnacentral:rRNA from 1 species
GACGAACGCUGGCGGCGUGCUUAACACAUGCAAGUCGAACGGAAAGGCCUGCUUUCCCUUGUGGAUUGCGGGUACUCGAGUGGCGAACGGGUGAGUAACACGUGAGUGAUCUGCCCCCAACUUGGGUAUAAGCCUGGGAAACUGGGUCUAAUUCCCGAUAGGACUGCAGGGUGGUGCCUGAGGUGGAAAACGAUUUUCUAGUGGUUGGGGAUGAGCUCGCGGCCUAUCAGCUUGUUGGUGGGGUAAUGGCCUACCAAGGCGGCGACGGGUAGCCGGCCUGAGAGGGUGGACGGCCACAUUGGGACCGAGAUACGGCCCAGACUCCUACGGGAGGCAGCAGUGGGGAAUAUUGCACAAUGGGCGGAAGCCUGAUGCAGCGACGCCGCGUGGGGGAUGACGGCCUUCGGGUUGUAAACUCCUUUCGACCGCGAGGAAGCCACCUGGUUGGAAGGGUGGUGACGGUAGUGGUAGAAGAAGCACCGGCUAACUACGUG